rnacentral:rRNA from 1 species
GACGAACGCGGCGGCGUGCCUAAUACAUGCAAGUAGAACGCUGAAGGAGGAGCUUGCUUCUCUGGAUGAGUUGCGAACGGGUGAGUAACGCGUAGGUAACCUGCCUGGUAGCGGGGGAUAACUAUUGGAAACGAUAGCUAAUACCGCAUAAUAGUAGAUGUUGCAUGACAUUUGCUUAAAAGGUGCAAUUGCAUCACUACCAGAUGGACCUGCGUUGUAUUAGCUAGUUGGUGGGGUAACGGCUCACCAAGGCGACGAUACAUAGCCGACCUGAGAGGGUGAUCGGCCACACUGGGACUGAGACACGGCCCAGACUCCUACGGGAGGCAGCAGUAGGGAAUCUUCGGCAAUGGACGGAAGUCUGACCGAGCAACGCCGCGUGAGUGAAGAAGGUUUUCGGAUCGUAAAGCUCUGUUGUAAGAGAAGAACGAGUGUGAGAGUGGAAAGUUCACACUGUGACG